rnacentral:lncRNA from 1 species
UUCUCCGUGUGAAGGGCUUCCCGCAACAAAAGAAAUUGCACUAUCCAAACUGGACUCAAACUGUUUGGGGGCAAAGGAUGGGUGUCCACGGCUCCUCAUCCGCGUGGGCUCGACGGUGACCUGCACAGCUUUCUGCUUUGUCCCUUUCUUGUUCUUUUCGAGAAAACCACAUAUUGUGACAGUUUUCUCAAGACAUCAUUUUUCUAAUUUGUCCGCAAAAUAAUAAGCUUUGUGUCUAAUUGUUUCACAUCAUCCAAAAUAACGAUUUAAGUGAUUUUGACAGUAUUUCUUACAAGUGGAUCCCAUUUUGUCACGUGCCAUGUCUUUUUCAUCAUUUUUCCUUUUUUCCUCGUCUCUUCGUCUUUUUUUUUUCUGAGUACAUCUCUUCGUCGUCUGCAACGCUGGCAAAGAGCACACCAGCCGCCAGAGGCGAGAUCGGCCGGGAGCGAGCCGUCGUCAGUGUCGGCGUGGCCGCCGCGUCACUCGGUGCUGCCUGCCGCCCCGCCGCCCGCUGGUCCGCGGCCAAGAAGGUCAGGAACUCAUGAUUCCAUCACGUUCAUGCCAAACAGGUUGACGUUGCUUCAGUGCGUGCUGCUCAGCGCCAUCAGUUUGUCUUCUGCUACUAACCAUGCCCAAAUUAAUUGAAUUUGGGCCAUGAGAGGCAUGUUGAAGCAAUUGCACAUCGAGCCAAGACGGCAUCAAUUUGACACACACACACAACAACAACAACAAAAUCGCAGCAAUCUGACCCCUGCACCCGCAUGGCGGCCGGCGAUGCCGCCAGCGCUCGGCCACAACUCUCUCGUGCCUGCUGCCAGUGCGGACCCCACGUAAGAAAUACCGUUAAAAUCGUGUAAGCAUUUAUUUUGGCCGAGGUGAGACAAUUUGACACAAAACUGUGGUUUCGGACAAAUUAGCAAAAGUGGGGCUCAGUGAGAAACUGCCUCAAAACCUAUGAUUUCUUAAAAUUUAGCA